rnacentral:lncRNA from 1 species
CCAGAAGUGUCGACAGGAGCGGGAAGAAGGUGCCAGUCCUUUGGCCCCAGGUGACCAAAGUACAGAAAGUAGAGGAAGAAAGUCUCCCUCCUUUAAUGCCACUCUCCUUCCUCCCCUCCAAUCCCCAGUAAAGUCUCGGGGCAACCUCUGCACACGGACCCCUCCAAGUGUCGUCAUCCACCCUGGAUCAUCAGACAGGCGCAGACACCGCCUGGGUCCUCCUCAGUCCACCUGGGGUGGGUACGCAGCCCUCCCUGCUGCCUCCUCCUUCUCUCCCGCUGAGGAGGGACUGCCACCCGCGGAGUCAGAGGCGGAGCAGAGGCUGGAGGUGCCCCGGCGCGAGAAGAGAGUAAACCUUUGGCAGGCAAGGGGUGUGGGUCCCACCGGGAGUCUUGGCCGCUCAUCUGGGCCCAGCCCGGUCCCCUGAGAUGGGUUCCGUCUCCUCAGCGCUGGCGCGGUCCCGGUCCCGCAACGCUGUGGUGCAGUUGGGCUCAUCGCCGCCACCCCAGCCCGAGGCGCCUCCGGCUGACCCCGCUGCUCGCGAAGACCGUUUCGCGCUGCACAAGACCGGGAGGCUUGGACCCGGGCGUGGAGAGGCGGCCACCCGGCCGGCAGCCUGGGAGGCUCAGCGGGUAGCGCCAAGCCCAGAGGGGCGCGCGAAGUUGGCGAGUCCGGAGCUGUCCCCGGUGCUGAACAGUGACGAGAGUAUGCCUCAGUCUCAGCUGUCUCGAAGCCCCAGCGCUGCGGAGACAGGAGCCGUGGAAGAAGAGCACCACAGCCCCAGGGAAACCGUGGAGAAACUUGAAGAUGCAGGAGAGCAAGGAUAGUUGCUCUACAAUAUUGUAUUCAUUUCUGCCAAACAUCAACAUGAAUCAGCUAUCAGAUCAGAUCAGUCGCUCAGUCGUGUCCGACUCUGUGCAACACCGUGAAUCGCAGCGCGCCAGGCCUCCCUGUCCAUCACCAACUCCCGGAGUUCACUGAGACUCACGUCAUCGAGUCAGUGAUGCCAUCCAGCCAUCUCAUCCUCUGUCGUCCCCUUCUCCUCCUGCCCCCAAUCCCUCCCAGCAUCAGAGUCUACCUAUGUCCCCUCCCUCUUGAACCUCCCUCCCCAUCCCACCCCUCUAGGUUGUUACAGAUCCCUGAUUUGAGUUCCCUGAGUCACACAGCAAAUCCUAUUGGUUAUUUAUUUUAUGUAUGGUAAUGUAUAUGUUUCCAUGUUACUUUCUAAAUACACCCCACCCGCUCCUUCCAGUAGAGCCCAGCACCCACCGUGUCCAUAAGUCUGUUCUCUAUGUCUGUGUCUCCACUGCUGCCCUGGAAAUAGGUUCAUCAAUACCGUGUUUCCAGAUGCCACAUAUAUGCGUUAAUGUAUGGUAUUUGGUUUUUCUUUCUGACUUACUUCACUCUGUAUAAUAGAGUGAAGUGUUCAUCCACCUCAUUAGAACUGACUCAAAUGCGUUCCUUUUUAUGGCUGAGUAAUAUUCCACUGUAUAUAUGUACCACAGCUUCUUUAUCCAUUCAUCUGUCAAUGGACAUCUAGCUUGCUUCCAUGUUUUAGCUA